CGUAGGGCACUGAUUCACUUUAAAACCCCUCGCACACGAAAGCCCUGAUUGGCUGAAAUGCUUCAAGCGCCUACAAAUUUCAGCCAUACCCCCUCCUCCUGCGUGCUCUGCGAUUCUCUGUGAAUCAGAAGCUUCAUUGAGAAGCUCCCUCUCUCUCGCUUGCCCUCGUCUCUUCGGGCAACUAUAGAUGCUUUGCAUCCUCUCUCUCUAGCUCCCUCUCUCUCGCUUGCCCUCGUCUCUUCGGGCAACUAUAGAUGCUUUGCAUCCUCUCUCUCUAGCUCCCUCUCUCUCUCUUGCCCUCGUCUCUUCGGGCAACUAUAGAUGCUUUGCAUCCUCUCUCUCUCUAAAUUUCAGCUGCUCUCCCUCCUCAUUCGCUCUUGUCAGCUCACUGUGGUUGCAAGCAUCUCAAGAAGGCAGCACACUGAGAAAACCCCAACCCAAGAUGACUCAGAACUAGGCACCGAAAUCAGUAUACUAUAAGCAUGUCAUGGAUGCCUCAACAUCAACAUCUCCUUCCUCUCUUAUCAACAUUACUAGUUCAAAAAAUGGGCACGAAUGUAGUGCUCUGGCUGUAGUAGAUGAAGCUUAUCAUGAUUCUUCAUUUGAUGAGCUAGUGGACAGAUCCAGAGAGGAUUGACAAUGCAGACCGCAUCAUAGCUAUGGCGGAGACACUCAAAGAAUAUCUUGGGUUCGACCCCUAAAGGAAAACUUUGCGAAGCACCAGUUCUUGCAUUGCCCUGCAGCAACCACUAGUAUCAAAAUGGGGUUAAUUUGCCCUUAGGUAUCAGUAGUGAUCAGCAAACUUAACCUCUUUCUUGGGUUCCCAAUCAUGAUGACCACCAUCUGAUGCUACAAGAGGAUCCAAAUUUGUCACUAUCUCAAAGGGAUAUGGAAUACCCCCAAGAUGGCACUAUCUCAACUCUCUCAAGUUUCUCUGGAAGUGGCAGGCAGAUGUGUUGGGUAUAUGUAGCCUUUAAAGGCCUUAUGAGUGUGUAUUGAAAUACUUUUAUAGUGAAACAUAAACUCACUAGGAGUGUGGUCCAUCGAAGACCAUACUAAGCGAAUAAUGUUUGCUUAUACCGAACUUUGUUUAUCGAUCUAGGCCAGUCGGUUGGAAAACUCAAAGUACUUGGGAAUAAAGAAUUAACCGAGGAGGGUUUUGGGUUAACCCUUGAUGAAGUCGGAGCUUAUGCCUAGAUGAGAGAGCCGA